rnacentral:rRNA from 1 species
UACGGGGGGAGCAAGCGUUGUUCGGAUUUACUGGGCGUAAAGCGCACGUAGGCGGAUCUUUAAGUCAGAGGUGAAAUCCCAAGGCUCAACCUUGGAACUGCCUUUGAUACUGGGGAUCUUGAGUCCGGGAGAGGUGAGUGGAACUGCGAGUGUAGAGGUGAAAUUCGUAGAUAUUCGCAAGAACACCAGUGGCGAAGGCGGCUCACUGGCCCGAUACUGACGCUGAGGCACGAAAGCGUGGGGAGCAAACAGG